rnacentral:tRNA from 1 species
GUCUGGUUGGCUCAGUCGGUAGAGCAUGGGACUCUUGAUCUUGGGGUUGUGAGUACAAGCCCCAUGUUGGGCA